rnacentral:rRNA from 1 species
GAUGAACGCUGGCGGCGUGCCUAAUACAUGCAAGUCGAGCGAAUGGAUUAAGAGCUUGCUCUUAUGAAGUUAGCGGCGGACGGGUGAGUAACACGUGGGUAACCUGCCCAUAAGACUGGGAUAAAUCCGGGAAACCGGGGCUAAUACCGGAUAACAUUUUGAACCGCAUGGUUCGAAAUUGAAAGGCGGCUUCGGCUGUCACUUAUGGAUGGACCCGCGUCGCAUUAGCUAGUUGGUGAGGUAACGGCUCACCAAGGCAACGAUGCGUCGCCGACCUGAGAGGGUGAUCGGCCACACUGGGACUGAGACACGGCCCAGACUCCUACGGGAGGCAGCAGUAGGGAAUCUUCCGCAAUGGACGAAAGUCUGACGGAGCAACGCCGCGUGAGUGAUGAAGGCUUUCGGGUCGUAAAACUCUGUUGUUAGGGAAGAACAAGUGCUAGUUGAAUAAGCUGGCACCUUGACGGUACCUAACCAGAAAGCCACGGCUAACUACGUGCCAGCCGCCGCUGUAA